UCUUCAAUGACGGCUGUGAAAAGGUAGGGUGUGUUGCGAAACAAGAAAUGCAGGGUGCUGUCAGAUCAAAGCUUGUGCCCUCCAUGCAAGAAAACGAAAAAAAAUUUUGUGGAUAGAGUGAAGCGCCGCCCCUGCAAAAAAAGCUGAAAACUGAAGCCACAAUGUGAAAUUAGGAACCUAAAGAAAUAGGCCAUUAGGGCCACUGUCUUUCGCGAAAAAGCAAAACGAGAGCUGGGUACACUGACGCACCGUUUGUCAGAAGUUUCAGUAAGCGAAGCCAACAAAGCAACGGAAAAUCUUCCAUAAGCGCAGCAACUUGCCUUUCGGGCAGCAUUCAAAGCGGCAAAAGCGAAAUCGCCAUGAGGACGCAUUAUGAACAGGAAUGGCUUAUGGCUUGUCUUCUGUUAAGAAUUUCCAGCCCAAGAGUAUAGACUAACGGCAAGGAUGAAGCUCAUGCCACUUCCAACGAUCACAAGGCUGAGACAAAUGAUGAAAGGAAUGCCUUGUGAAUUCGACUUCAACAAGGUAUCUCUUGCCAGUGUUGGGGCCUUUAUGAAGAACAGAACAGGAGUGCAAUGCUAUGGAGCCCUGAUACUGGACGAGAUGAAGGUGGGAGACAUGGUUGCAUUUAACAAGAGUACCUACAAGGUUGACGGCUUUGUUGACUAUGGAGAGGGCCAUGACUCAGAAAAAACAGCCGACCAGGCUUUGGUCCUCAUGUUUGUGCCAUUGUUUCACUCUUGGGUGCAGCCGAUUGCAAGUCUCGCAACAAGACAUGAGGCCCCUGGAAGAAUGCGGGCAAGGCUUGUUUUGGAAGCCAUUUUGGAGCUAUGUAAGCACAAUGCAGUGAUCAUCGCUGUAAUCAGUGAUGGUGCCAGCACUAACAAGGCCAUGUGGUCAUGUUUCGGUAUCAAAGGCAAGCUUCACGCACCAAAACACAAAGUUGACCAUCCUUGUAUACCUGAUCAGCAGCUGUACUUCCUUUGCGAUGUUCCCCACAUUAUCAAGAGUAUAAGGAACCAUCUUCUGUGUCACAAGUAUGGCAUGGUACGUGGAUUUGAAUGCUUUUACUUACUUUUCAUCCUUAAGCAACUAUGGAGUGAUUUGUGCAAUGGAGCACCUUCUUUCAUCUCACUAAACAUCCCAUGAAAUAUAAACUUUGACCACUACUGAGAACUCCAAGAAGUAGACGGCAAACAGCAGCUCCGUGUGGUACCGAAGUUGACAAAAGAGCAUGUAAGCCCGGACAACCUACGAAAGAUGAGUGUGAGAAUGGCUGUAAAGGUAAACAAAAAUCUAUAUCUAUAUUAUUAUCUAUAUGUAUUUCGUAAUUAACUACUCUUUGUCUAUGUUCAUGAAUGAAUUUUUAUAAAAAUAAAGCUGAACAUUUUUCCAAUACGUAUGCUGUUCUCAACUUUUCAGCCAUAGCACCGCCAUUGGGCUAAAGGUAUACCAGCGGUUAGAGGAGCCUGAUCUGAAAGACUGCUAUCAACUGCUGAAUUCAUCGUCAUGGUGAACAACCUGUUCGAUGUCCUCAAUGUGAAGCUUCCCCGGCUUGGAAUACGAAGUUCAUCAAAGGAAAUUGAGGUCAUCCAAGAGUUUCUUGAUGCUGUAAAUGAGAUCGAGGAAAACCAUAUCGCCAAAGAGGCAGUGAUGUCUGCGUCGCAAGUUACUAUGGAAUCUCUUCGGGUUACACUUGCGUCAGUACGGGACCUUGUAGCAGAUCUUCUCUCUAAAGGAGUGCAUUAUGUGCUCACGGGCAAACUCAACCAAGAUCUUCUAGACAGGUUUUUGGUGUGACAAGAAGCUACGGAGGUGAUGAUGACCACCCCACUCUAAUCAGCUUUGCACACAUAUAUAGGCUUCUGAGCCUGUGCACCCCAAUCAGUACUUGUGUCACAGGGAAUGUGAAUGAGGAACAGACCUUUGUGCUUGCCACUGUAGCCGACAGCAUGAAAAGGGGAAGGAAGGACAAACUUUCAUCCCAUGGAAGACUCCAGGAGAAAGUAGAAGCAAAGUUGGCGGAGAUAUGUUCUACUACGCAGAAUGCAGCACUGACAGCACCUGAUCAUGGAUACUCCACACCAGCAGCACAGAACUAUGUUAUUUGCUACUUGCGCGGCUACCUUGUUCACCCUUUUCUCAAACAUAAUAGAUGCUCUAACUGUAUACGUAGCAUCCAGUCCCAACAUGCAGAGUGCCCAGAGGCAUUUCUCACUUUGGAGAAGGAACAUAAGCUUGGAUGCCUCAAGUUGCCAUCAUGGGAGCUUUUCUGUAUGUUUCGAGGCAUUGAAAGCAAGAUUUCAGAUGAGUUGCAAAGGAACCGGCUCUGUUCUGACACUUUUUGGGCCCUUCUUGACGCACUUGGGGACUGUGAUGUGACAAGUGUCGGUUGUCCCAUUCACAAGGACACCACUACUGCAGAGCUUCUUCAUUCAUACAUUGUGCUACGAAUGCAUUUUGCCGCAAAAGAUGCCUGCAAGAGCCUCAGCUCUUCAGAAAAGGGCGCAUUUGCCAGAAAGAAAGUCAAGCUAAUGUGAAGGCUUCCUGUACAGCUCCUUCACUGUAAACAGUUUUCUGAUUAUAAAUAUGUACCUGUAAAUAAUUUACCUGCUGCAUUCCAUUUCACAACAUCAAAUAAAUAUUACAAGGAAAUUUUUUUUUUUUGCUUUCUUGCUGGUUGUUGAAUUUGUUGGCUUUUCUGCAGUUUUUUGCCCGCAUAAGACGUGUUCAGGUAAGAUUGGAACAUGGUUGAGUAUUACAGGAUCCUGGGCUGAUUUGUUCAGUAUACUGGCGAAAAAUAAACGUCGGUUACAACGGGAAGCGGAAUGAAAGUGAGCGCACUGCCCAUUGUUUGCCCUUUCUUUUUUUGUCCUGUCUUACGUGCUGUUUCUUUUUUGUUGUAAUGUUCAGAUACAACUAAAAAGCGCUUUUCACUAAGCCAAGUAAAAUGAGAGCGAAGUUUCGUUUCUGCUUCUCGUAUAAGAGGGUGACUACCAAUGAAUGUGGUAGUCGCUUGUCGGCGCCUUUCAGGAAGUAGCAGACGACGCGUAGCGACUGAUCUUAACGCUACCGCAGCGCCACCACCUGGUCAGCAAUGGUGCCGACCUGCUCCGUGCCACUGGAAGGCCACGCUCUUUGCCAACUGAACCAAUCUAAAAACGUUGAGUACAACCCUAAAUCUGCAUUACCAUAUCGCCAUCGGCAUGCGAAAAAUGGCUGCCUUGUACGCGCUUCUAGCCUAGCUGCCGUAGCUUCCUCCAUGUUGUUCAUGUAACCAGGCGCUGGUGUAGCCUAGUCUACCGCCUGUCUUCUCGUUUUCUC